AUUGAACGCUGGCGGCAGGCCUAACACAUGCAAGUCGAACGAGUGGCGGACGGGUGAGUAAUGUCUGGGAAACUGCCUGAUGGAGGGGGCUAACUACUGGAACCGGUAGCUAAUACCGCAUACCAUCGGAUGUGCCCAGAUUGGAUUAGCUAGUAGGGGGGGUAAAGGCUAACCUAGGCGACGAUCCCUAGCUGGUCUGAGAGGAUGAACAGCCACACUGGGACUGAGACACGGCCCAGACUCCUACGGGAGGCAGCAGUAGGGAAUAUUGCACAAUGGGCGAAAGUCUGAUGCAGCCAUGCCGCGUGUAUGAAGAAGGCCUUCGGGUUGUAAAGUACUUUCAGCGGGGAGGCGUUACCCGCAGAGAAAGCACCGGCUAACUCCGUGCCAGCCGCCGCGGUAAUUC
rnacentral:rRNA from 1 species